rnacentral:rRNA from 2 species
UCGUCACACUAUCAUUAACUGAAUCCAUAGGUUAAUGAGGCGAACCGGGGGAACUGAAACAUCUAAGUACCCCGAGGAAAAGAAAUCAACCGAGAUUCCCCCAGUAGCGGCGAGCGAACGGGGAGGAGCCCAGAGCCUGAAUCAGCAUGUGUGUUAGUGGAAGCGUCUGGAAAGGCGCGCGAUACAGGGUGACAGCCCCGUACACAAAAGCGCAUGUGCUGUGAGCUCGAUGAGUAGGGCGGGACACGUGGUAUCCUGUCUGAAUAUGGGGGGACCAUCCUCCAAGGCUAAAUACUCCUGACUGACCGAUAGUGAACCAGUACCGUGAGGGAAAGGCGAAAAGAACCCCGGCGAGGGGAGUGAAAAAGAACCUGAAACCGUGUACGUACAAGCAGUGGGAGCACAGGUUUACCUGUGUGACUGCGUACCUUUUGUAUAAUGGGUCAGCGACUUAUAUUCUGUAGCAAGGUUAACCGAAUAGGGGAGCCGGAGGGAAACCGAGUCUUAAYYGGGCGUUAAGUUGCAGGGUAUAGACCCGAAACCCGGUGAUCUAGCCAUGGGCAGGUUGAAGGUUGGGUAACACUAACUGGAGGACCGAACCGACUAAUGUUGAAAAAUUAGCGGAUGACCUGUGGCUGGGGGUGAAAGGCCAAUCAAACCGGGAGAUAGCUGGUUCUCCCCGAAAGCUAUUUAGGUAGCGCCUCGUGAAUUCAUCUCCGGGGGUAGAGCACUGUUUCGGCUAGGGGGCCAUCCCGGCUU